rnacentral:rRNA from 1 species
UACGGAGGGGGCAAGCGUUACUCGGAAUUAUUGGGCGUAAAGGGCGCGUAGGCGGCCAACUAAGUCGGACGUGAAAUCCCUCGGCUUAACCGGGGAACUGCGUCCGAUACUGGAUGGCUCGAGUUUGGGAGAGGGAUGCGGAAUUCCAGGUGUAGCGGUGAAAUGCGUAGAUAUCUGGAGGAACACCGGUGGCGAAGGCGGCAUCCUGGACCAACACUGACGCUGAUGAGCGAAAGCCAGGGGAGCAAACGGG